AUGCAUGAUCAGGUCAGCCUGGACCUGGACGGCUUCCCACUCGACCACGAGUUUCCGGAGGACUACGGGCAAGAGGAAGAGGAUGAGUGCGACAUCGAAGGGGAUCCUUUGUUCGAGGACGAGCUCGCCAACCAAGCCGCUGGGGCGAAGCCGAAGCGCAAGAGCAAGCGGACGAAGGCAUACACGGCGGCCGAGGACGAGCUUCUUUGUGAGUGUUGGAGGGACAUUGGCGACCCCAAGGUCGGUGCCGAACAAAAGGCAUCAACCUUUUAGAUUCAUGUCCACCGUGAGUUCCAUGAGCGCAAGAAGUUUGCGCCGUACCAAAUACUAAGCACGCGCGGGUGUGUGUCCAUUUCAAAGCGAUGGAGGGUGAUCCAACAAGAGUGCAACAAGUUUUGUGCAACUCUUGAGAGCGUCAAGGCCUUCCCUGUGAGCGGCAUCAGCAUGCAAGACAUGGUAUGCAAGCGGCUGUCCUCUUUUGUGUCAUUCCGUUUAUGCUUGCAUGUCCAUUUCCAUAUACAUUUUGCCCAUAUGCUUGCAUGCAAUUCAUUUGUAGGCAUUCCAAGCUUUGGAGGCAUUCAAGGUCCAACACGAUGGCAAGUGCUUCAACCUCUCCCAUUGUUGGAGGGUCAUCAAAGAUGA
rnacentral:rRNA from 1 species